AAUGAACGUUGGCGGCGUGGAUUAGGCAUGCAAGUCGCGCGACAAGCUCACUUCGGUGGGUUGAGGAGCGGCGCAAGGGAGAGUAAUGCGUGGGUAACCUACCCUCAGAUCCGGGAUAAUGCUCGAAAGGCAGGUAAUACCGGAUAACGUCCUCGGACCAAAGCUCCGGCGUCUGGGGAGGGCCCUCGUCCUAUUAGCUUGUUGGUGGGGUAAUGGCCUACCAAGGCAUUGAUGGGUAGCGGGUGUGAGAGCAUGGCCCGCCUCACUGGGACUGAGACACUGCCCAGACACCUACGGGUGCUGCAGUCGAGAAUCUUCCGCAAUGGACGCAAGUCUGACGGAGCGACGCCGCGUGCGGGAUGAAGGCCUUCGGGUUGUAAACCGCUGUCAGAGGGGAAGGGAACCUUGACCUAACCUCAGAGAAGGGCAGGCUAAGUUCGUGCCAGCCGCCGCGGUAA
rnacentral:rRNA from 1 species